UACGUAGGGGGCAAGCGUUGUCCGGAUUUAUUGGGCGUAAAGAGCGUGUAGGCGGCCGUACAGGUCAGCUGUGAAAACUCGAGGCUCAACCUCGAGACGUCGGUUGAAACCGUACGGCUAGAGUCCGGAAGAGGAGAGUGGAAUUCCCGGUGUAGCGGUGAAAUGCGCAGAUAUCGGGAAGAACACCCGUGGCGAAGGCAGGUCUCUGGGCCACUACUGACGCUGAGAAGCGAAAGCAUGGGGAGCGAACAGG
rnacentral:rRNA from 1 species